CUUAGUUCGUGGAGUGAUCUGUCUGCUUAAUUGCGUUUCACUAAGGGCCCAUAAAUUCAAGGUAUGUUAGCUAUCGUUUCUCAAUUGACCCCUUGUCUUCGAUAAGCGCGUGUCUUUUAGAGUUUAAACAUUGCGCAUGCUGUUGGGUCCUGAAAGCAACGAACGUGACCGCAACGUCUUAUUGCCUUUAUCUUGUUAUAUUCUAAUUUAAUUAGAAAUAACUAACAGAGGCUAAUUUAAAAUUAGACGGACCGCUGUACUUUUCUUAAACCAGAGGAAGGUUGCGGCAAUAACAGGUCUGUGAUGCCCUUAGAUGUUCCGGGCUGCACACGUGCUACAAUGAUCAGUACAGUGAGCAUCUCAAUAUUAUACACCGUAUUAAGCGCUUAGUUGCGAUUAUUGGCUCAUUAUUGGGUCUUUUAAUUGUAUUUCUAAUGCGCGCGGUAAAGCCUGCUUCGAGAGUAAGUGGGUAAUCCAUUGGAAGUAAUGAUUUCUCUUUUUAUAGCACACCUAUAUACGGCAUUCAUUCCCGGGACGACUAGUUUCGUCUUUUUUGUGCGAAUGUAAUGUAUUCUUUAUCCGUAUGUGCGAUUGUCA
rnacentral:rRNA from 1 species